CCUACGGGUGGCAGCAGUGGGGAAUCUUGCGCAAUGGGCGGAAGCCUGACGCAGCGACGCCGCGUGCGGGAAGGAGGCCUUCGGGUCGUAAACCGCUUUCAGCAGGGACGAGGCCGCGAGGUGACGGUACCUGCAGAAGAAGCCCCGGCUAACUACGUGCCAGCAGCCGCGGUAAUACGUAGGGGGCAAGCGUUAUCCGGAUUCAUUGGGCGUAAAGCGCGCGUAGGCGGCCUGUUAGGUCGGGAGUCAAAUCCGGGGGCUCAACCCCCGCCCGCUCCCGAUACCGGCGGGCUUGAGUCUGGCAGGGGAAGGCGGAAUUCCAAGUGUAGCGGUGGAAUGCGCAGAUAUUUGGAAGAACACCGGUGGCGAAGGCGGCCUUCUGGGCCACGACUGACGCUGAGGCGCGAAAGCUAGGGGAGCGAACAGGAUUAGAUACCCUAGUAGUC
rnacentral:rRNA from 1 species